CAAGGAAUAUUGCCCAAUGGACGGAAGUCUGAGGCAGCAACGCCGCGUGAAGGAUGAAGGCCUUCGGGUCGUAAACUUCUUUUAAGAGGGAAGAGAGCGGACGGUACCUCUUGAAUAAGCUUCGGCUAACUACGUGCCAGCAGCCGCGGUAAAACGUAGGAAGCGAGCGUUAUCCGGAUUUACUGGGCGUAAAGGGCAGGCAGGCGGUUGGUUAAGUCCUACUUGAAAGCUCCCGGCUUAACUGGGAGAGGCGGUGGGAAACUAGCCAGCUAGAGGAUGGUAGAGGAGAGUGGAAUUCCCGGUGUAGUGGUGAAAUGCGUAGAUAUCGGGAGGAACACCAGUGGCGAAAGCGGCUCUCUGGGCCAUUUCUGACGCUCAACUGCGAAAGCCAGGGGAGAGAACGGGAUUAGAAACCCCGGUAUUCCUGGCCGUAAACGAUGUUAACUAGGCGUAGGGGGUGUCAAAGCCUUCUGUGCUGCAGCCAACGCGAU
rnacentral:rRNA from 1 species